UGAGUGUUCGUGCUGUCUAGGCAGCUGAAUAUGCUAAGUUAAGGGCUUUUCUGAGUUAUUUGGCAGAGGGCUGUUUAUGGCUGUUCAUGCUGGUGCUGGUAUAGUUAUGUCCAUAUUUGAAGUUUGAAACACGUCCUAGUGUCGUUUUCUCCUGUGUUUUAACAGUUUUACAGCGGUUUAUUUACAGUGAUUUAGUCGGUACCACCAGAGGUGAUAACAAGGCCGGGAGGACUUCCACGAUGCGGUGGUCUUCAGCCCAGGCUAGAGACACGCAUUUCUCCAGGCUGAGCGGAACGGAACUCUGCUCUGCCUAAAGAACGUAAAGAAGGCGUUAAGUGUCAGGGGGACAACAGACUUCGACGUGAUCGUCACAGGAGUGAUGUCUCAGUCACUGAGACAUGCCGUUCUUCACACGGAGCCCCCCAUCACAGCAGAAAAACACUCGAUGAUGAUGCCGCCAGGCAGAAAGGUCAGCCUGGUGGAAGCUAAAGUGGUCUCUCUAAGUCCAUCUGUACAAACGGUGAAUAUCCGUGGGGCCGAGCGUGAGGUCAGAAACUGCUGCAUCUCUGACGGGACUGCACAGAUAGCGCUGCAGCUGUGGGAGAGACAGCUGGACACCGUCAAGGCGCUGUCAUCCUACACCUUCACUGAACUCUCAACAAGAUCAUUUGAGGACAAACUUCGGUUCACCACCUCCAUCAGCACCACCUGCAGCCCCUCCUGAAAGGAAGUAACAUUAUAUUUAUCAAAUGCUAGUUAACAGCUUGCUCAUAGUUUUUGUAUAUGUAGUCCGCCAUGAACUGAGUGUUUUAAAACUACUGAGAGUCAGUGGUUCUGAUCAGCUAGCUAGGUUAGGUAAGUAAGAAGUGUUACAAAAUGUGUUAAUUGUCCUUUUUUUGGUUUCUUAGUAAUUUCUUACUCAUCAGGCAAUUUGCUAUUGUGCUUUUAACUGUAAAGGCCUGACAAAGAUCAAAGAAACUGUUGGCAUAUGAAAGUGUAUCAGUCAAUCUGCCAGGUUAAUGCUCAGAUUACUGCUCUCUGUUUUUCCAUUACAGUAGGAAUGUUAUUGUACCUUCAUCAAAUGUUAAGUGAUCCUGUAAUUGGCCACCGAAUAAUCCUGCAAAGAUAAGUACAAUUCAAGUGCCUGUGAUUCAGUGGCUGGAAAUUAUGAGCUUGAUUCCUCCAAAAAUAUGGAACACAGGUCAAAUACAUCUUCACUGUACGGGUCAAAAACUCAGUACUCUUUGCAGGUGUUGAGUUCACCUUCACAGACUGGAAUAAGAAGGUCUUCAGAUUUCCACAGAUGUGGUGCAAGGUCCAUGACGUUAGGUAGCCCACUUAGCAUGUUCGUGUUUGUGGAAGGCCGAAUGCGGUUGGGCAUUCCAAACAUCACAAAUCUCAUUGAGCUCUUUCUGUGAAGACCGUGCAGAAAGCGGAGGUGGUGGUGAAGAGUUUUACACGUUAAACCUCUGCCUUUCUUACAAACCGAACUGAACUGAACAGCUUGGUCCAGGUUUAUUGCCUACCUGUCUAAUAACAAGCAAUAAUCUGUUAGAAACUAUUUUAUUGUGAAACCUUUUACAAUAGGAGUUCUGUGUAGUCAGUUAGUUAAAAUAAGUCACAAAAUAGGAAUUUUGAGUAUUUUCUGGAGGUUUCAAAAACAACAAGCUGGAAGAUCUGAGCAAUUUGGUGUAAUUUACUACUGUCUACAUCACAGAAUAGAGGUAAUCAUAAUCCCAUUUACACCACAGCAAAUUAUACUCAUCUUAAAUAAGCUUUACAAGGUAAGUGUCUCAUAAAACAUCUUACCUGAAUGAUCACCAUAAAGCAAAACUGCACUGGAGCUUUGUCCAAGAAGUCGCCUCUGAACGGUCCUUCAUCUUUUAAGUUCCCCAAAUAGCUGGAUCCUUACGGAGGAAUAAAAACUUAAUUUAAGCGAACGUUUUGCAGUUGGUACGCACGUUUUCUUUACUUCGUGGGUACGUUUUUGUUUAUUCAUUCUCUCAUUUUUUUAGACGUUGGUCAUGUUUUAUUUUUAGCUAAACGCAUGUUGUUUGUGUUUUGGUAACAGCUCCCUGAGACUGUCUGACGGGUUCUGAUGAGGUAGACUGAUGAGAUGAACUGAGACGCUCACCAGGGCUGAUUCUGAUUUAGGGGUUUAUGAGGAAACUGCAGCUCCUCUUCACAGCCAAUGGCCCAGGGCGUUUUUCUGCUCAGGGUCAAAUGCCGGUGUUAGAGACCAUCACACAAUUACAGUCAUUACGGGGGCAGUAUGGAGUUCAGGUCACUCUCUGUGAUACUCUUGCUGACUACCAUCAUCUGCUGCGGACAAAGUGAAGAUCUGCCCAGAGCUACACUCACUGUAGAACCAGCAAGUGCAGUGUUCUCUGGAGAGUCAGUCACCCUCAAGUGUGAAAUAGAACCUAUCAACAUAUCAUGGACAUAUCAAUGGGAUAAGCAGGAUAAAUGGCAUGGAUGGACUGCAGUAUCUCACUCUGUGUAUUACACUGAAAACAUGAGCGCACUCACUAUCAGAGAAGAUGCAGUGUUGGAUGGGGAUCAGUAUCGCUGUAGAGGAGAGCAAAGUGACAGACCAAUAUCAUCACAGUACAGUAACACUGUUUUUCUCACUGUAUUUGCUUUACCUAGAGCUACACUGACUGUAGAACCAGAGAGACCUGUGUCCACUGGAGAGUCAGUGACUCUGAAGUGUGAGAUUAAAGGUUAUGAUGGAUGGACGUAUCAGUGGUAUAAACAGGAUAAACGGAGUGAACUGACUGCGGUGUCUCAGUCUGUGUAUUACACUGUAAACAGAGACACUCUCACCAUCAGAGGAGAUGCUGUGAUUCAUGGAGAUCAGUAUCAGUGUAGAGGAGAGAGACGUGACAGACCAACAUCAUCACAGUACAGUGACUCUGUUACUCUCACUGUAAACGUGUUUCUGAUGGUCAGUCCAAGCAGAGCUCAACACUUUAUUACUGACUCUCUCUCACUGAGCUGUGAGGGACAGAGUGACUCUACUGGAUGGAGAGUGAGACGAUACACACACAGUGAGAAGGUGUCAGAUUGUUCAUCAGGCUGGGGAUCAGUUACAGGAUCUACGUGCAACAUCAGCUCCCUCAACACAUCCCACACUGGAUUGUACUGGUGUGAGUCUGAAUCUGGAGAGAGCAGCAAUCCUGUCAACAUCACAGUGACCAGAGCUUCAUUCUCAGUGUUCAGUCUGCUCAGUAGUUUAAUGGCAGCGUCUCCGUAUCUUCUGGUGUCCAUCAUUCUGGGGGUCAAAUGCUACAGAGCUCAAGCUAAACCUGAUCAGCUGAACCUGAUGAGCUGAACACAGUGUGAGCAGUGAUAGAAGCUGGAACAUGUUGAUGAGAGUCAGUCAGAGGAUUAGGAUCAUGAUUAUGAUGUUGUCCAAUGUUUGUUCAGUGAUGUUAAUCCAGUUAUAGAUCACUACAUUUGGCAGAUGUGCUUCAUAUUCUGUAUAAGGCCCACUUCUCAAGCCUGAAGCUCUACUAUCAAACUCUACAGGUGGUAGAUCUCCAGGACUAGGACUGUAGAGGCCUUUCAGUACAAUAUAUUCUGGGUUGCCAGCUUGAGCUUUUUUAAUGCCUUUUUGUGCCAUAUGGGGAAACGUGACUUUGGUUAGUUGCCAGUUUUUAGGACUGCAUUUCUCUUUGUGAAUAAUCUAAUCCAUACACACAAAACACUCAAACUAGCUUACUAGUUAGGAAGUCUAAAGAGUGUGUGGAAGAAACUAACCAACUGAACUGACCAGUGGAGUUGGAAACCCUUUGUAUUAUAGUGAGAGUGUCUGAGAGAGGCUACGAUGUCUGUCUGUUUGUAUUAUUAUUAUUAUUACUAUUAUUGUUCUAUUUUUUAUGUUGCAUUGGGGAUCGGGGUGGGUGUCUCUGACAGAGUCUCCAGCAUGACCCUCACUGAUCCUCAUUGUUGAAAUACAUAUGUGCAUGUAUCACACAGGACAAACACUAGGUGGCAGUAUAUAAGCAAUGAUAUGUGCUGUUUUGAGUAUGUACUGGUGGGACUUUAAGGCUGGGUGGUGAGACCUGGCUGUGGAGUCCACAAUUUUAUAAAUGAUUUUUGAAGCAUGUAGCAUAGAGGAGGGUUGUACCUCCUUUUUCCACAAUCCUUGUUAAAUCUUGAAGUGAAGUGAAGUGAAGUAAAAGGCUGGAUAGAUACAGAUGAAAUCUGUAUCAGUGGGUCUAAGGAUCUUACUUUAGGAAGUGAGUACUUGGGAAGAAGUAAGUACUUGGUUUGGAGGUCUGUCUCAAAGAGUACAAAUUCAGCCUGACAAGUGGGGCAAAACAUUAAGAAACUGCAGCCAACAUAGGUCACAUAAAUUUACAGCACAACUU